rnacentral:rRNA from 1 species
AUUGAACGCUGGCGGCAGGCCUAACACAUGCAAGUCGAGCGAGCGGCGGACGGGUGAGUAAUGUAUGGGAACCUGCCCGAUAGAGGGGGAUAACUACUGGAAACGGUGGCUAAUACCGCAUACUGUCGGAUGUACCCAGAUGGGAUUAGCUUGUAGGUAAGGUAAGGGCUUACCUAGGCGACGAUCCCUAGCUGGUCUGAGAGGAUGACCAGCAAACCUGGAACUGAGACACGGGCCAGACUCCUACGGGAGGCAGCAGUGGGGAAUAUUGCACAAUGGGCGAAAGCCGGAUGCAGCCAUGACGCGUGUAUGAAGAAGGCCUUAGGGUUGUAAAGUACUUUCAGUGGGGAGGCGUUACCGACAGAAGAAGCACCGGCUAACUCCGUGCCAGCAGCCGCGGUAAUUC